rnacentral:misc_RNA from 1 species
GCGAGUAAGGCCUUGCCCACAUGGCUCGGUCAGUCCCAUUAUAUACACCUUUAAUCUGUGAACCCGUUGUUCCGAGGUGGCCGAAAGCUUAGGCGAUUAAGCAGCCGAGGUUCAGCAACCCUAUAAACCCUUUAAUGUAAAGUCAAUGGAAGUAGAUGAUAACUAUAAUA